CAAAGAAAUUCCUCGUUCGAUGUAUCGCUGCUCGAAACAUUGCCAUCGAUUAUCAUGGGAUAAACGAAGCCUUGUUCUUGAUCCGUCGUGCUGUUGUGGUUGAGGUACGAAUUAGUAGUACCCAUAGUUUCUUGCCUACUCAUCUGUGGCACAUACGGAACUUUAUGUUCCGUUUCAUCGAGCAAAGACAUGAUCCUUUUCAUGUCUAAUUGGUUUUGUUGUUGUUGAUAUUGUUGUUGCUGUUGUUGCAGGAUUUGUUGCUGUUGAAAUUGUUGCCUUUUAAGUAUUCGAGCUUUUGCCUUAAUGGAGUUAUCAGGCUUUUUCUUGAAAUGGGUCCUCCAGUAGUUCUUGA
rnacentral:lncRNA from 1 species